AGAUUGGAAGUUACUAGGGAACAUUACACGGUUCUCAGAAUCACCAGGAGAACUGGAGAAACAGGCUACUGAAGACCAAGGAAGGAUCAACUUGAAGAAUAACCAUAAUUUCACCAAGAACAAUGUUUAAAAAAAGGCAUUUCAGACUGUGAUAAUAGGGGAAGUAAAAGUGUAAAUUUCCAGUGGAUGAAGAUGGCUGUGUCUCCUAAUCAAUAACCAGCAAAAUUAAACAACAAAAAAAGAGCAGAUAUGUAGAUAUUCUUCAGGCCAGGAUGAGGGUAAAUGGCUUGCCCACUGCAUAUGGAAGUGUUGUUCUACAGAGACUGCUCUUCAUCUACUGAAAACCGGUCCUGUGCUGUUCUUUGGAUCACUAAGUGUUGAUAAUUUUGUACUUCUCUGUUCAUUCUUGUUGACUCCACCACCUUUGUGAUACUCUACAGAAAUUAUAAUAUGGUUAGAGAAGGAGAAGAUAACAUUUGCA
ensembl:lncRNA LINC01218 long intergenic non-protein coding RNA 1218